rnacentral:rRNA from 1 species
UACGUAGGGUGCGAGCGUUAAUCGGAAUUACUGGGCGUAAAGCGUGCGCAGGCGGUUUUGAAAGUCAGCUGUGAAAGCCCCGGGCUUAACCUGGGAACUGCGGUUGAAACUACAGGACUAGAAUCUGGCAGAGGGGGGUGGAAUUCCACGUGUAGCAGUGAAAUGCGUAGAGAUGUGGAGGAACACCGAUGGCGAAGGCAGCCCCCUGGGCUGAGAUUGACGCUCAGGCACGAAAGCGUGGGGAGCAAACAGG